UGACCCCUAGGGUAAUGGUAACCCGUCUCCCUUUGGCGGAGAAGACGUCCGUGUUCGAGUCACGGGGGGUCAG